GCGUUUGUUGUGUUUUACUGAUUGGGAAGAUUUUUUAGAUCAAUAUUCUGUCAGCUGUCAGUCUUCUGCGAAUGCAAUUGUCACCAUCGGAAUUAACAUCAAAUCACAGUGAACAGCCAGCCGGAGUAUUACUGCCAAUAUCAGGCAGACCACUCGGCAUUUUGACAUGGGAGGAGGAAACCUGGUAGACCAGCAAUAACUUACACUGACAUUCUCAAAAUAGACACAUGACUUGAAUCAGAAGAUUUCAAGUCAGCAAUGGGGGACAGAAAGGCUUGGGGAACCAUCGUGAUUCGAGGACACCACUCGACUUAAGCAAUAUGGGAGGAGGAAACCUGGUAGACCAGCAAUAACUUACUGACAUUCUCAAAAUAGACACGGGACUUGAAUCAGAAGAUUUCAAGUCAGCAAUGGGGGACAGAAAGGCUUGGGGAACCAUCGUGAUUCGAGGACAUCACUCGACUUAAGCAA